GGAAGCCAUUAUGCGAAUCAGGAAUCGAAGUGACGUGUCGCAGAUUUUCAGAUUUACGUGUGUUAACAAUAUGGAUAAGAAUGAAGGGGAAAUAUGAUUCAAAAUGUAAUGAAGGAAUAAUAAAGCUCAGAAAAUUC
rnacentral:lncRNA from 1 species